rnacentral:rRNA from 1 species
GAUUCGUCACACUAUCAUUAACUGAAUCCAUAGGUUAAUGAGGCGAACCGGGGGAACUGAAACAUCUAAGUACCCCGAGGAAAAGAAAUCAACCGAGAUUCCCCCAGUAGCGGCGAGCGAACGGGGAGGAGCCCAGAGCCUGAAUCAGCAUGUGUGUUAGUGGAAGCGUCUGGAAAGGCGCGCGAUACAGGGUGACAGCCCCGUACACAAAAGCGCAUGUGCUGUGAGCUCGAUGAGUAGGGCGGGACACGUGGUAUCCUGUCUGAAUAUGGGGGGACCAUCCUCCAAGGCUAAAUACUCCUGACUGACCGAUAGUGAACCAGUACCGUGAGGGAAAGGCGAAAAGAACCCCGGCGAGGGGAGUGAAAAAGAACCUGAAACCGUGUACGUACAAGCAGUGGGAGCACCCUUCGGGGUGUGACUGCGUACCUUUUGUAUAAUGGGUCAGCGACUUAUAUUCUGUAGCAAGGUUAACCGUAUAGGGGAGCCGGAGGGAAACCGAGUCUUAACCGGGCGUUAAGUUGCAGGGUAUAGACCCGAAACCCGGUGAUCUAGCCAUGGGCAGGUUGAAGGUUGGGUAACACUAACUGGAGGACCGAACCGACUAAUGUUGAAAAAUUAGCGGAUGACCUGUGGCUGGGGGUGAAAGGCCAAUCAAACCGGGAGAUAGCUGGUUCUCCCCGAAAGCUAUUUAGGUAGCGCCUCGUGAAUUCAUCUCCGGGGGUAGAGCACUGUUUCGGCUAGGGGGCCAUCCCGGCUUACCAACCCGAUGCAAACUGCGAAUACCGGAGAAUGUUAUCACGGGAGACACACGGCGGGUGCUAACGUCCGUCGUGAAGAGGGAAACAACCCAGACCGCCAGCUAAGGUCCCAAAGUCAUGGUUAAGUGGGAAACGAUGUGGGAAGGCCCAGACAGCCAGGAUGUUGGCUUAGAAGCAGCCAUCAUUUAAAGAAAGCGUAAUAGCUCACUGGUCGAGUCGGCCUGCGCGGAAGAUGUAACGGGGCUAAACCAUGCACCGAAGCUGCGGCAGCGAACGUAUCACCCAAGACAACUUUACGGAGUUGACGAUUGACGGAGCGAAGCGACGUCAAAGCGUUCAUUAAAGUCGAGUUGGCUUAGGGAUACGUUCGUUGGGUAGGGGAGCGUUCUGUAAGCCUGUGAAGGUGUGUCGUGAGGCAUGCUGGAGGUAUCAGAAGUGCGAAUGCUGACAUAAGUAACGAUAAAGCGGGUGAAAAGCCCGCUCGCCGGAAGACCAAGGGUUCCUGUCCAACGUUAAUCGGGGCAGGGUGAGUCGACCCCUAAGGCGAGGCCGAAAGGCGUAGUCGAUGGGAAACGGGUUAAUAUUCCCGUACUUGGUGUUACUGCGAAGGGGGGACGG